rnacentral:rRNA from 1 species
UACGGCGGAACACGAGAAAUUCCGUCGGAAUCCGCGGGGACCAUCCCGCAAGGCUAAAUACUCCCUAGUGACCGAUAGUGAACCAGUACCGUGAGGGAAAGGUGAAAAGCACCCCGGAAGGGGAGUGAAAUAGAUCCUGAAACCGUGUGCCUACAACAAGUCAAAGCUCGUUAAUGAGUGAUGGCGUGCCUUUUGUAGAAUGAACCGGCGAGUUACGAUUGCAUGCGAGGUUAAGUCGAAGAGACGGAGCCGCAGCGAAAGCGAGUCUGAAUAGGGCGAAUGAGUAUGUAGUCGUAGACCCGAAACCAUGUGAUCUACCCAUGUCCAGGUUGAAGGUGCGGUAAAACGCACUGGAGGACCGAACCCACGUACGUUGAAAAGUGCGGGGAUGAGGUGUGGGUAGCGGAGAAAUUCCAAACGAACUUGGAGAUAGCUGGUUCUCUCCGAAAUAGCUUUAGGGCUAGCCUCGGAAUUGAGAAUGAUGGAGGUAGAGCACUGUUUGGACUAGGGGCCCAUCUCGGGUUACCGAAUUCAGAUAAACUCCGAAUGCCAUUCAUUUAUAUCCGGGAGUCAGACUGCGAGUGAUAAGAUCCGUAGUCGAAAGGGAAACAGCCCAGACCACCAGCUAAGGUCCCAAAAUAUAUGUUAAGUGGAAAAGGAUGUGGGGUUGCACAGACAACUAGGAUGUUGGCUUAGAAGCAGCCACCAUUUAAAGAGUGCGUAAUAGCUCACUAGUCGAGUGACCCUGCGCCGAAAAUGUACCGGGGCUAAACAUAUUACCGAAGCUGUGGACUACACCAUUAGGUGUAGUGGUAGGAGAGCGUUCUAAGGGCGUUGAAGGU